UCGAACGGUAACAGGGACUUCGGGCUGCKGACGAGUGGCGAACGGGUGAGAUAUGCAUCGGAACGUACCGAGUAAUGGGGGAUAACGCAUCCAAAGGUGUGCUAAUACCGCAUACGCCCUGAGGGGGAAAGCGGGGGAUCGAAAGACCUCGCGUUAUUCGAGCGGCCGAUGCCGGAUUAGCUAGUUGGUGGGGUAAAGGCUCACCAAGGCGACRAUCCGUAGCAGGUCUGAGAGGAUGAUCUGCCACACUGGGACUGAGACACGGCCCAG
rnacentral:rRNA from 1 species